CAUCCACCUUCAUUUGCCGUCGUCGGAGACAACCUCUAUCUGCUGUAGCCAGAGAUGAUUUUUUUUCCUACUUUCCUUUUUUUCAUCUCCUCUUCUUUUCUUCCACUUUCCUUCUCUAACCAAGACGUCCAGAUCCGAAGUGAGAUCUAAAAUGGGAAGCAAGCCUCAAAUAAUGAUGGAAAGAAACAGAGAUUCAAAUAAAAAACUAAUCAUACCAAAAAUACUUUCAUCCACGAAAAUCCCCAAAUUUGAAGCAAAAACUGAAACUCUUUCAUCAACAAGCCAACCCCAAAUCUGUGACAACCAUCUAGAAAUGUACAGUUGCUGAUUCUAACUCAUUUUUCUUCACGCUAUAAAUUGAUUGCUUCUUUCCGUAAGCUUCCAUGAACGACGACGCCUUCACAAAAGUUCCAAGCCGGGGAUGUUGGGAGCGAGUGAUUCCUCUACAGUGAUGUGAUGACUGUCUUUCAGACAGCGGCAAAAGGGUUUUGUGGUGUGACGAUGGGUGGGUCGGAGAGGGAGGGGUGG
rnacentral:lncRNA from 1 species